rnacentral:rRNA from 1 species
CCUACGGGCGGCAGCAGUGGGGAAUAUUGCACAAUGGGCGAAAGCCUGAUGCAGCAACGCCGCGUGAAGGAAGAAGGGUUUCGGCUCGUAAACUUCUAUCAACAGGGACGAAAGAAAUGACGGUGCCUGAAUAAGAAGCCCCGGCUAACUACGUGCCAGCAGCCGCGGGAAUACGUAGGGGGCAAGCGUUAUCCGGAAUUACUGGGUGUAAAGGGUGAUUCGGCGGGAGGGUAAGCAAGAUGUGAAAGCCUUGGGCUUAACCCGAGGAUUGCAUUUGGAACUAGCAAGCUAGAGUACAGGAGAGGAAAGCGGAAUUCCUAGUGUAGCGGUGAAAUGCGUAGAUAUUAGGAAGAACACCAGUUGCGAAGGCGGCUCUCGGGACUGAAACUGACGCUGAGGCACGAAAGCGUGGGGAGCGAACAGGAUUAGAUACCCUUGUAGUC